rnacentral:rRNA from 1 species
UACAGAGGUCUCAAGCGUUGUUCGGAUUCAUUGGGCGUAAAGGGCGUGUAGGCGGUUCGGUAAGUGGAAUGUGAAAUCCCCCGGCUUACCCGGGGGAACUGCAUCCCAUACUGCUGGACUUGAGUGCGGGAGAGGAUGGAGGAAUUCCUGGUGUAGCGGUGAAAUGCGUAGAUAUCAGGAGGAACACCUGUGGCGAAGGCGGGUCUCUGGGCCGUAACUGACGCUGAGGAGCGAAAGCGUGGGGAGCGAACAGG